CACUUCAACCGAACUGAGACUCAGGUCUUUUUAGGCGGACCAGAGUUUGCUUCGUACAUCCUCAUCAGAGUUCGAUUACGCCAUGCACACCUUCCCAAAUGAAUCAGACUUUCGGGGCAAAUGAACUAGAGUUCAAUUAAAGCGAACUAAAUAGUCCUGGUGUGAAUGUACCCUAAAUGUUUUGAAGAAAACUGACAAAUUUCAUGCUUUCUGUGGCUGGAAGCCAAAGAGAAAGGAAUUUGGUUUAAGGGAACGUUAGCCUUGAUGCAACGGCUGUUUUGAAUAAAUGUUUAUGACAGAUUGGUUUACUGAAACCUGUACGUUUAUUACCAGUUUGAUGUUAAUGUUACAAAAUAGUUGAAAGCAUUCUUAAAUGUAAUUUCUUUAAAGCUGAUGAGUAAAAAAAAGACAUUAGACAGAUGCAAUCACAAACAAAAAGAGUUAAAGGAGAAUCAAAUAAAUGAGUAAAUAAUACUUGCAACAUCUCAGAUUGUGCUGCUGUUUUACUGUUACUACUUUUCUUGUUUAAAUGAGAACAUAGUUUGGCUUUAGUGAGAUACAAACCUCUAUGCAGUGAGUUUUAUAUCUCUUUAAACAAGAAAGUUUCUCAAAGUGCUGCUCCCGUAUUUAUUUUCAUCCUCUCUACACGGCAUAAAAUGUGGUUUCCUGCAGGUGGAUUAUUUGGUAAAUAAAGCCAUCAUUCACCAACUUCUUGGACAGCCAGUAGCUACUGUUCUGUUUGGAAAGUCAUGAUCUGGAAAAUGAAGCACAACCUUGCUACUAAAAGUAAAGCUAGCAUGCCAAGACUGAAGAGCUGCAAGCACAAAAGUGGCAGAAUGCUAGCUAGCUAGUAAAUCAGAUUGCCCUGUUAGUUAGCUUGGCAGAUGCUGCUCUAUACACAGCAGAGCAACAAAAGGAGGUACCACUCUGUGAAAUAAGCACAUCUACUUGGAACUGCUGUGACUUUAAAUCUGCAACUUCUUGUGACAGAAGCUGAACUUAAAUCUCGGCUCAGACAAAUCUUUGUUUUGAGUACAUGAAACGACUGACACUCACCCUUGUUGUCUCACUCUCCGUUAUGUGGUCAGUAUAACAUGUAUUACAAUGAGAAAAUACAUCCUGUUCUUCAGCAGUGCAUAUUCGCUUAAGUGCCUGCAGUUUUAGAUGACUAGAAAGAAAAACACUGGGUUGGCCAAAAGUUCCUCUGACAAGUCCCGGUACGACAGUGUUAGUUUAAUGUGAAGAUGCAUCUUGUAUAAAAAAAAAAAUUUCCAUCGUAUGAGCAAGAAUGAAAUACAGAGUAAAAACCAGCUUUUAAUUUGCUUAUGCUUUGCUCUUUACGAACGUAUUUAUUUUUUUUAUUGUUUUUACUGUGAAGCUCUCCUUUGUCCCUUUUAUUAAAUGUUAUCCUGUAUUUCACCUUACAUAUUGUAUAGCUUAUACUGAUAAUGGUUAAAUAAAUAAGUUUUAAAAUA